CCAAAUGGCUCAAAAGACAGCAACUGCCGCCUCCCAGCGAGACCCCGGUCAGGAAUCCUAGGUUAACUCACGCAGAGUCCUGUCCUGACAACCGUGCAUCCACACUGCAACGUUGCCUGGUCCUGCCCAUCUUCUGAUUCUAGGAAGAAUGUGACAGACGGCACACACGGGGUGAGGACAGACCUCAGACGGAGCAGAGCUGACAAAUCACUACUCACUGCGCACAGGAGAAGACCAAGAGAUAACUGCAGAAUCUUGAAGUCGGUAGGAAAUCUGUUUUGAUGGAGGAUAGCAGAGGUGCAUUUCCACAUCAACUGACCACAGUGAUAGCCCCAGGACGGCAGGUAUGAGAUGCUCAGGAUGUCCUGGAGAUGAGAGAAGAAUGAUGCAAUGAAUACUGCUGAAGAAUGGAACAGGGGCCAAGGCCAAAGGCAGCUCUUCUUCGCCAAGACAGCUAGACGACCAGAUUUCUGAAUCAGGAAUUUGGACAGAGCACAGGAGGGACGGCUUCUCUAGCCAUCCCAGUUCUGGGGUACAGAGUCACUUAGCGUUGGGAGCCCCUCACCCUGGCAGGGGAGAUGCUCUGGCUGGCAACGUGCUCGGUGGUGAUAAGGAAUUGAGGAGAAGCCAUAUUCAGAGGUCUCUGAGAUUCCUGCUGAGAGCCAGAGUACA